UACGAAGGGGGCUAGCGUUGUUCGGAAUUACUGGGCGUAAAGGGCGCGUAGGCGGUGUGUCAAGUCAGGCGUGAAAGCCCCGGGCUCAACCUGGGAACCGCGCUUGAGACUGGCACGCUCGAGUUCGGGAGAGGAUGGUGGAAUUCCCAGUGUAGAGGUGAAAUUCGUAGAUAUUGGGAAGAACACCGAUGGCGAAGGCAGCCAUCUGGACCGACACUGACGCUGAGGCGCGAAAGCGUGGGUAGCAAACGGG
rnacentral:rRNA from 1 species